UGGGGAAUAUUGCACAAUGGGCGAAAGCCUGAUGCAGCAACGCCGCGUGAGUGAUGAAGGCCUUCGGGUUGUAAAGCUCUGUCUUUUGGGACGAUAAUGACGGUACCAAAGGAGGAAGCCACGGCUAACUACGUGCCAGCAGCCGCGGUAAUACGUAGGUGGCAAGCGUUGUCCGGAUUUACUGGGCGUAAAGGAUGCGUAGGCGGAUUUUUAAGUGAGAUGUGAAAUACCCGGGCUUAACUUGGGUGCUGCAUUUCAAACUGGGAAUCUAGAGUGCGGGAGAGGAAGAAUGGAAUUCCUAGUGUAGCGGUGAAAUGGCGUAGAGAUUAGGAAGAACACCAGUGGCGAAGGCGAUUCUCUGGACCGUAACUGACGCUGAGGCAUGAAAGCGUGGGUAGCAAACAGGAUUAGAUACCCUGGUAGUCCACGCCGUAAACGAUGAGUACUAGGUGUAGGAGGUAUCGACCCCUUCUGUGCCGCAGUUAACACAAUAAGUACUCCGCCUGGGAAGUACGAUCGC
rnacentral:rRNA from 1 species